GUCGAGAAUCUUUCACAAUGGGGGCAACCCUGAUGGAGCGACGCCGCGUGGAGGAUAAGGUCUUCGGAUUGUAAACUCCUGUCAUGCGUGAACAAGGUUGCUUGGUUAAUACCUGGGCAAAUUGAUGGUAACGCAAGAGGAAGAGACGGCUAACUCUGUGCCAGCAGCCGCGGUAAUACAGAGGUCUCAAGCGUUGUUCGGAAUCACUGGGCGUAAAGGGUGCGUAGGUGGCGUGGUAAGUCAGAUGUGAAAGCACGGGGCUCAACCUCGGAACUGCAUCCGAUACGGCCAGGCUAGAGUACUGGAGAGGUGACUAGAAUUCUCGGUGUAGCAGUGAAAUGCGUAGAUAUCGAGAGGAAUACCAAAGGCGUAGGCAGGUCACUGGACAGUUACUGACACUGAGGCACGAAGGCCAGGGGAGCGAACGGGAUUAGAAACCCCAGUAGUCC
rnacentral:rRNA from 1 species